UGUGACAUCAUUGUGACAGCAGUGUCUUGAAGAAACCCCACUGGUUCUAACUCCUGUCAGAGGCAAUGAAUGCCUAGAGUGUGUGUAUUAUAAUGGAACUGGGAGGAAAUGGUGCCACUUCUUUGAAACUUGUUAACAUGCAAAUGACAGAUGAAUCUUCCCAAAGGUAAGGCACUUACAAGAGAAUAUUUCAAUUACUCUCUUGGCCACUCCUCAUCACCCAUCAUACGAUCGUAUCUACUUCAUCAUUUUCCUUAGUGCCCAUAAAAAGACAUGCUGAAGGUGUAAAGGGAAUGUAAGAGAGAGCAAUAGCCUCUGAUGUGUUGGACUCAGCUCAGAUUUUCCCAUGCAAAAGAUCUGAUUUUCAGCUGGACUGCAACACCAUGCCAAGAUGCUGAGCUCUGGGUAUUACCCCAGACAGUGAUGCCACUUCACAAGGACACAGAUGUUAAAGCCCUUCUCAGAGAAUGUUCCAAGAGUAAAGCCGGUGAUGGACAGCCAAACAUUAAUCAGCAAAAAGGAGUUUGACCUAUAGAGCCAAGGAGAAGUUGGACAAAGAACAUGAAAAGGACAAGAUGCAAAUCCAAUCCAAUGAAUGGGAGCUCAAUGAGAAUCUUCAAAGGACCACAGUAUGCUGUACAAUUUUUUAUAAAUAUCAAAAGGGUAUUUUCAUUGAUUGAUUUUAUGGAUUUUAUAAAUAUGUUUCAUUGGUUAAUGGGAGCUAUCCAUAAAACGAAUAAUGAUCAUAUUUAAUCUAUUCUUUCCACUUCAAUUGAAUGUUAGAUAAAUAAAAUCACCAUUGAUUGGUGAGUUUAAGCAGGAUCUGUAAACAUUUUCAAAAGAAAAGAAAAGAGAGUCAUAGUUUAUUUUUUUCAGAAGCC
rnacentral:lncRNA from 1 species